rnacentral:rRNA from 12 species
AAAGGACAUUGUUAGUUUGUAAGUUUGACUGGGGCGGUCGCCUCCUAAAGAGUAACGGAGGUUUUCUUUAAGGUAAAUUCCAACUUUUUUAAGUUAUAGAGCGUAAAGGUAAAUAUUUGCUUGACUGUACGAGAAUGAUACUUCUAACAGGGACAAUUUUGUCGGACUUAGUGAUCCAAUAAAGCUUUUUGAAAAAAGUUUAUUGCUUAAAAGAUAAAAGGUACUCCGGGGAUAACAGACUUAUGUUCCUUCAGAGUUCACAUCGACGGGA